AUUUUUUUUGGAUUUAUUCAAGUGUUUAGUUUAGGAUUUUAGUAAUGGAGUCAAGAAUGGAACAUUAUGAGAUCAUGGACAGAUUGGGCGUGGAGCAUUUGGUGCUGCUAUUUUAGUUAAUCACAAGCAAGAAAGAAAGAAGUAUGUGCUCAAGAAGAUUCGAUUAGCUCGACAAACUGAACGUUGCAGGAGAUCUGCUCAUCAAGAGAUGGCACUAAUCGCUCGUCUUCAACAUCCAUAUAUUGUUGAGUUUAAGGAAGCAUGGGUAGAGAAGGGCUGCUAUGUUUGCAUUGUUACCGGCUAUUGCGAAGGUGGUGAUAUGGCUGAACUGAUGAAAAAAGCAAAUGGGCAAUAUUUUCCAGAAGAGGUAUGUUGACAAU